rnacentral:rRNA from 1 species
GAUGAACGCUGGCGGCGUGCCUAAUACAUGCAAGUCGAGCGAACGGACGAGAAGCUUGCUUCUCUGAUGUUAGCGGCGGACGGGUGAGUAACACGUGGAUAACCUACCUAUAAGACUGGGAUAACUUCGGGAAACCGGAGCUAAUACCGGAUAAUAUUUUGAACCGCAUGGUUCAAAAGUGAAAGACGGUCUUGCUGUCACUUAUAGAUGGAUCCGCGCUGCAUUAGCUAGUUGGUAAGGUAACGGCUUACCAAGGCAACGAUGCAUAGCCGACCUGAGAGGGUGAUCGGCCACACUGGAACUGAGACACGGUCCAGACUCCUACGGGAGGCAGCAGUAGGGAAUCUUCCGCAAUGGACGAAAGCCUGACGGAGCAACGCCGCGUAAGUGAUGAAGAUCUUCGGAUCGUAAAACUCUGUGAUUAGUGAAGAACAUAUGUGUAAGUAACUGUGCACAUCUUGACGGUACCUAAUCAGAAAGCCACGGCUAACUACGUG